rnacentral:rRNA from 1 species
UAAUACUCCAUAGAUUAGAGACACUGGAAUGUUCUUUAGUCGAAAGUUCUGGCGCCUUAGGAUGGAUCUGCGGUCGAUUAGGUUGUUGUUGGGGUAACGGCCCAACAAGCCUGUAAUCGAUACGGGUUGUGGGAGCAAGAGCCCGGAGAUGGAAUCUGAGACACGAUUCCAGGCCCUACGGGGCGCAGCAGGCGCGAAAACUUUACAAUGCAGGAAACUGUGAUAAGGGAACUCCGAGUGCCCGUAUACGCGGGCUGUCCAGGUGUUUAAAAAUCAUCUGAAGAAAGGGCCGGGCAAGACCGGUGCCAGCCGCCGCGGCAAUACCGGCGGCUCGAGUGGUGGCCACUAUUAUUGGGCUUAAAGCGUCCGUAGCUGGACCGAUAAGUCUCUUGGGAAAUCCGCCGGCACAACCGGCGGGCGUCUAAGGGAUACUGUUAGUCUAGGGACCGGGAGAGGUGAGAGGUACUCCGGGGGUAGGAGUGAAAUCCUGUAAUCCCCGGGGGACCACCGAUGGCGAAGGCAUCUCACCAGAACGGCUCCGACAGUGAGGGACGAAAGCUGGGGGAGCGAACCGGAUUAGAUACCCGGGUAGUCCCAGCCGUAAACUAUGCGCGUUAGGUGU